rnacentral:piRNA from 1 species
ACAGGAAAGUGAAGAAAAGCAGUAG